GAAUCUCGACAACGGAUAUCUCGGCUCUUGUCACGAUGAAGAACGUAGCGAAAUGUGAUACUUAGUGUGAAUUGCAGAAUCCCAUGAAUCAUUGAGUUUUUGAACGCAAUUUGAGCCCGAGGCCUCGUCGAGGGCACAUCUGUCUGGGCAUCG
rnacentral:rRNA from 1 species